rnacentral:rRNA from 1 species
GCUUACGGCCAUACCACCCGGAACACGCCCGAUCUCGUCUGAUCUCGGAAGCUAAGCAGGGUCGGGCCUGGUCAGUACUUGGAUGGGAGACCGCCUGGGAAUACCAGGUGCUGUAAGCU